rnacentral:rRNA from 1 species
ACUCCUACGGGAGGCAGCAGUGGGGAAUCUUAGACAAUGGGGGAAACCCUGAUCUAGCCAUGCCGCGUGAGUGACGAAGGCCCUAGGGUCGUAAAGCUCUUUCGCUGGGGAAGAUAAUGACUGUACCCAGUAAAGAAACCCCGCGUAACAUCCGUGCCAAGCAGCCGCGGUAAUACGGAGGGGUUAGCGUUGUUCGGAAUUACUGGGCGUAAAGCGCGCGUAGGCGGACUAUUAAGUCAGAGGUGAAAUCCC